AGCGACAUAUCGGAUUCGAACCGAUGACACCAAGAUUGGAAAACUCGUGCUCUACCAACUGAGCUAAUGUCGC
rnacentral:tRNA from 2 species